rnacentral:rRNA from 1 species
ACUCCUACGGGAGGCAGCAGUGGGGAAUUUUGGACAAUGGGCGCAAGCCUGAUCCAGCCAUGCCGCGUGCGGGAAGAAGGCCUUCGGGUUGUAAACCGCUUUUGUCAGGGAAGAAAUCUCUUGGGUUAAUACCUCGAGAGGAUGACGGUACCUGAAGAAUAAGCACCGGCUAACUACGUGCCAGCAGCCGCGGUAAUACGUAGGGUGCAAGCGUUAAUCGGAAUUACUGGGCGUAAAGCGUGCGCAGGCGGUUGUGCAAGCCAGAUGUGAAAUCCCCGGGCUUAACCUGGGAACUGCAUUUGUGACUGCACAGCUCGAGUACGGCAGAGGGGGAUGGAAUUCCGCGUGUAGCAGUGAAAUGCGUAGAUAUGCGGAGGAACACCGAUGGCGAAGGCAAUCCCCUGGGCCUGUACUGACGCUCAUGCACGAAAGCGUGGGGAGCAAACAGGAUUAGAUACCCUGGUAGUCCACGCCCUAAACGAUGUCAACUGGUUGUUGGACGGCUUGCUGUUCAGUAACGAAGCUAACGCGUGAAGUUGACCGCCUGGGG